rnacentral:rRNA from 1 species
GACCUGGCUCAGGAUGAACGCUGGCGGCGUGCCUAACACAUGCAAGUCGAGCGAUCUCUUCGGAGAGAGCGGCGGACGGGUGAGUAACGCGUGGGUAACCUGCCCUGUACACACGGAUAACAUACCGAAAGGUAUGCUAAUACGGGAUAAUAUAUAAGAGUCGCAUGACUUUUAUAUCAAAGAUUUUUUCGGUACAGGAUGGACCCGCGUCUGAUUAGCUUGUUGGCGGGGUAACGCCCACCAAGGCG